rnacentral:lncRNA from 1 species
UGGCAACUUUCUUUGCUUUGUUUAUUGGUAAACCUCAUACAUACCUUCAACAUGUUUGAUGACAGGCAGAUGCUUAACUGAUUCUUUCUCAUACAUAUUUUUAAAGUAGAAUAGCUAAAAUGGCCAAGUUUUUUGUGCCGUAGAACAGAAUCCUCAACUAGACUAGAGUACACAUACAUUUCAAAUAGUUUCCAAUUCAAUAGGAAAACUCUAUCAUUCAAGUUAACAACCAUGAGCUCACAUCCAGAUGGAUCAAUAUAAUGCAAUUUUUAUCCUUAAAAAAGUAAAGCAUAACUGCUUAUCCAUUAACUGGCCCACUCUAAGCAGGUUUUGACUAACUUCAAGCACAAAUAAAACAUCAGAAAUUGUUUUUGUACUUAAUGGAGUGUAAAUUGCUACCAUUCCCUUGGCUUUUACAUCAACACAUGCACCAUUACCAACCUUUACUCUAGAGAUGUAAAUUCUAUCAAGCUCAUUAAAUCAUUCUACAUCACCAAUCAUAUGCUUGAAGCAAUCACUAUCUAUAAGCCAGAUUCCUUUACCAAUAUUUGUAGCAUAGCUUUUGGCAUAAAUAAGUUUUCUAUUAGCUUUUCUUGGUCUUCAACUACUUAUGCUUGCUGGACGUGUUGAUUACUUUGAUCUUGCAAACUUUAGCAAUAUGUCCUAGUUGGUUACAAGCCCUACACUGAACUCCAGGCUACCAGUAGAAAUUUUCUAUGACUCCUCUUUUUGCAGUAAGGACAAGGUGGAUACUUGCCUUUUCUUUCUCCACUUGUAUGUCCUUCACUUUGUUUUUUAUCUUUUCCCUUCUUCUCACCAGAUUGCUUAUUCUCUCCACUUGACGAUGAAGCUUUACUUUUUUGCUAAGCCAUAAAAACACCUUUUAUGUUAUUCUUUACUCUUGUACUUGUAACGCAUUCAUCAAUUCUGGUAAGAUGAUGUUAUUGAGAUCUCUUGAGUCUUCGAGAGGUGAGAUCUUAGCCUUAACCUCUUCAAGUAAGCUUAUUAAUACUUUCUCCACAGCUCUCUUGUCAGUCAAUUCUUCACCCAAUAACUUGAUCUUGUUCACCACCCUGAGGAGCCUAUUUGCAUACUCUUUACCUGUCUCAAAAUCUUUAAUUCUGAGAAGCUCAAAUUCCCUUUUAAGAUUCAAGACUUGCAUCUGCCGAGUCUUAUCAUUACCAUGAAACUCCUUCUUGAGUUUGUCCUAAGCUGCCUUAGGUGACUCAUAAGCUAUAAUUCUAUCUAAAAUAACCUCAGACAAAGCUGUUUGUAGCCAAGAUAAAGCCUUGAACUUCUUUACUAACUCUUCAACAUGAUGCUUCAUUCAUACUAUUAUGGGUUGGCUCUAAGUGAUGGUGGUGGUGGAGGGGGUCUCUUCUUGUUUCUACUACUUCCUAUAGGUCUUGACCCCUUAAUUAUGUUUUCAUUUUCACAACCCAAACAUCAUAGUUUUCACUUGAGAAAAUAGGAAUUGGUGGAGAUAACAUUACUGGAAGUCGUCGAUAUGGUUAAAAGUGCUUAAGGUCUUUUAGUGGAGGAUAGCCUUGCUAGUCUUCUCUCUCAUACAUACAAACACAACCCUUAAAGAUCAUUAGGGUUAUGAUACCAUGUUGUAAUCUAAGCUUAAAGCAAAUUUUGGUUUUAAAAAGACAGAAGAAAAAUGCAGAACAUAAGUUUGAAUUAUUCAUUUAUUUUCUGCAAUACAUAUAUAUAUAUAUAUAUAGGAGACAAAAUAAAGAGAUAAACAAUUGGUCCAUAUGAGCUUCGAUAACUUAGUUCAACUUUUACAAGACAUGUUCCUUAAAUCAAGGAUUUACACACUUUAUCUAACUAAUCCUUGAACAGUAUAGUAGUAACAUCAAAACCACCAAAACCACCAAAAUAUCUACAAAAGAUAUCACGUUUAGCAGUAAGGUGGUGGGCAACAAGAGCUGGUUAUUGUUGUAUCUAAAUCAUGCAAUUCAUACUCUAUAUAAUGAGGUGUCAGAUUAUGCUCCUACUUUAUGGAGCUCGUAAUCAUAACAAUACAUAGUUAUUUCAAUUUAAAAUUCAUGUGGAUUUGCAAGCAAGAUUACAAAAAUAUAGUUAGAAGGAUAUAGGGUAAAGCUUUAGGCACAAAUAGGGAUGAUAUGAUUAGUGAUAAAAUGGCACCUGGUGUUAAUGGAUUAAAGAGGUGGGAUAGAGA